GGCACUAUGGCCGAGUGGUUAAGGCGACAGACUUGAAAUCUGUUGGGCUUUGCCCACGCUGGUUCGAAUCCUGCUGGUGUCG
rnacentral:tRNA from 4 species